UUGAAGAGUUUGAUCAUGGCUCAGAUUGAACGCUGGCGGCAGGCCUAACACAUGCAAGUCGAGCGGAAACGAGUUAUCUGAACCUUCGGGGAACGAUAGCGGCGUCGAGCGGCGGACGGGUGAGUAAUGCCUGGGAAUAUGCCUUGAUGUGGGGGAUAACCAUUGGAAACGAUGGCUAAUACCGCAUAAUGCCUUCGGGCCAAAGAGGGGGAUCUUCGGACCUCUCGCGUCAAGAUUAGCCCAGGUGGGAUUAGCUAGUUGGUGAGGUAAUGGCUCACCAAGGCGACGAUCCCUAGCUGGUCUGAGAGGAUGAUCAGCCACACUGGAACUGAGACACGGUCCAGACUCCUACGGGAGGCAGCAGUGGGGAAUAUUGCACAAUGGGCGCAAGCCUGAUGCAGCCAUGCCGCGUGUGUGAAGAAGGCCUUCGGGUUGUAAAGCACUUUCAGUCGUGAGGAAGGGGUAUACGUUAAUAGCGUAUAUCUUUGACGUUAGCGACAGAAGAAGCACCGGCUAACUCCGUGCCAGCAGCCGCGGUAAUACGGAGGGUGCGAGCGUUAAUCGGAAUUACUGGGCGUAAAGCGCAUGCAGGUGGUUCGUUAAGUCAGAUGUGAAAGCCCGGGGCUCAACCUCGGAACUGCAUUUGAAACUGGCGGACUAGAGUACUGUAGAGGGGGGUAGAAUUUCAGGUGUAGCGGUGAAAUGCGUAGAGAUCUGAAGGAAUACCGGUGGCGAAGGCGGCCCCCUGGACAGAUACUGACACUCAGAUGCGAAAGCGUGGGGAGCAAACAGGAUUAGAUACCCUGGUAGUCCACGCCGUAAACGAUGUCUACUUGGAGGUUGUUCCCUUGAGGAGUGGCUUUCGGAGCUAACGCGUUAAGUAGACCGCCUGGGGAGUACGGUCGCAAGAUUAAAACUCAAAUGAAUUGACGGGGGCCCGCACAAGCGGUGGAGCAUGUGGUUUAAUUCGAUGCAACGCGAAGAACCUUACCUACUCUUGACAUCCAGAGAAGCCGGAAGAGAUUCUGGUGUGCCUUCGGGAGCUCUGAGACAGGUGCUGCAUGGCUGUCGUCAGCUCGUGUUGUGAAAUGUUGGGUUAAGUCCCGCAACGAGCGCAACCCUUAUCCUUGUUUGCCAGCGAGUAAUGUCGGGAACUCCAGGGAGACUGCCGGUGAUAAACCGGAGGAAGGUGGGGACGACGUCAAGUCAUCAUGGCCCUUACGAGUAGGGCUACACACGUGCUACAAUGGCGCAUACAGAGGGCGGCCAACCAGCGAUGGUGAGCGAAUCCCAAAAAGUGCGUCGUAGUCCGGAUUGGAGUCUGCAACUCGACUCCAUGAAGUCGGAAUCGCUAGUAAUCGUAGAUCAGAAUGCUACGGUGAAUACGUUCCCGGGCCUUGUACACACCGCCCGUCACACCAUGGGAGUGGGCUGCAAAAGAAGUGGGUAGUUUAACCUUCGGGAGGACGCUCACCACUUUGUGGUUCAUGACUGGGGUGAAGUCGUAACAAGGUAGCGCUAGGGGAACCUGGCGCUGGAUCACCUCCUU
rnacentral:rRNA from 1 species